AUUGCAGUUGCAGUGCGCUUCGCUUUGCUCUCGCGCGGAAGAGAACACACCAGCCUCUUUGCGUUCCAGCUCCUCUCCUCGUCACCGCCAUGGAUCGUCGCCCGUCCUCCAUUGCGGCCUGCGGCCAGUGGCGACCUCCAUUGCUGGCUGCUCCUCCAGAUCUCCGUCCGGUGGGUUCGUCGGGCGAUGGGAGUUUGUGUCGAUCGCACUACUGUUCGUUGGCAUUUUUUGGCCUCCUUUUUUCAGUGAUCCAAAAUGUUCAUGCGAAUCGUGCGAUCUAUAUCUGGGGUCAAGUUGUGUUUCUUCCUGCCAUGAUUUUUCAUGCUCCGUUUCUGUUUUCUCCGUCUCCUCCCAGUGACACACAGUCUGAAGAACAUAACAAGGAUCCCACACGCACCUUCAGAGUUCAGACCCGGUUCAGUUCAGGUGAAGUGAGAGGCAGCUUGUGGUAGGACCGACAGUAGGGGAGCCAUGUCAAGAUUGGUCUUUAUUCAUGAAUUUCUCUGUCCUCGCUCUACUGAUUUUUCCUGCCUUGGUUUUUUACUAGUACUCUGGGGAGGCACGAGGCAGGCAGCAAGGCAAGUCACAGGGCGGCCACACAGGGGGUCAGGGGCAUUGAACUCCGCCCUUGUUUAGUUGUCUUCAAAAUUCCAAAACUUUACAAGAUUUCCCAUCACAUCGAAUCUUUGAACGCAUGCAUGAAGUAUUAAAUGUAGCUAAAUAAAAUAACUAAUUACACAGUUUGUCUGUAAUUUGCGAGACGAAUUUUUUGAGCCUAGUUAACCUAUGAUCGGAUAAUAAUUACCAAAUACAAACGAAAGUGUUACAGUACUUUACACCCUAAAGUUUACCGCAACUAAACAAGCCCUCCAUCACGGGCCCGUACAGCCGAGGCAGAGACAGGCGGCCGUGCCCCGAGCCGACGAGCUGCGCCCGCCUGUGAAUAUUCUGCGCGUCUUGAUGAUGAUUGCAGAGGCAGCUGCAGCCCCUGCAAGCUUGCCCGGUUACCCCUACUGGUAAAGAGACGUACAGUGCCCGGAGCAGCGGCGAGCUGAGCUGGUGAGCAUGCUCUGCUUCGGCUCCACUCCACGGUCCCCCUCCGCCCUGCUGGUGCCGGGACCGAGCUGCAGGUCGAAGAGGCAACAGUUGAGAGGUCGAAGAGCCCGACUGGCUGACUCGGGGCCUCAGAGGCUGGUGGCCUCCACCGGCCGCCGGCCGCGCCAAUCCUGCCGGUGCCGGGCGGGCCCGCCGUCGCGGGAUCCGAUGCGCGGGAGGUGGUGUCCGGUCGACCGGUGCCCGUGGAUGCGGCGGGGUCCCGCCUCCAGCGCCGCCUGGCCGGUUCAUGAAUGCAUCGCGGAUUCGCGGUGGCGGUGGUCACCGCCUCACCGGUUUCUGUUUCCGGCGAGGUUUGGGGCCGGGCUCGCCUGGACCCGGGCCCCCCGUCUCAAUCAAGCCAUGGAGGAGUUGGUGGCUCUGGGGCCCUCUUCUCCCGGCCUCGCGCAUCUUCUCGCGACGAACUGGUCCGGAGCCAGUCCAGAGAGCGCGGAGCUCCGGGCCGACGCCACCGGACUCCCGUGGAACAACAGAUGGGGGAUGGCUGUCGUGAUCUGUCGUCGAGACGUGCAGAGCGUUCUCGAGUUGUGGCAACACGUUUAACUGUAACGGAACAAGUAUGUAGCAGGAGAGAGGGCACGUCAAGAAAGGUUGGCACACCAUACGUGUGUCGAAUACUCGAAUUGGUAACUGACAAAACACUAGUCAUAUAUGGUGAAGUUUGGUUGCCUCUAA